rnacentral:rRNA from 1 species
AGCUCCAAUAGCGUAUACUAAAGUUGUUGCAGUUAAAAAGCUCGUAGUUGGAUUUCUGGCGGGGAUGGCUGGUUGGUCCCGACAAGGGGCUGUACUAUUGCUUAUUCCCGUCAUCCUUGGGGAGAGCAGUUCUGGCAUUAAGUUGUUGGGGCUGGGAUCCCUAUCUUUUACUGUGAAAAAAUUAGAGUGUUCAAAGCAGGCUUAGGCCCUGAAUACAUUAGCAUGGAAUAAUAAGAUACGACCUUGGUGGUCUAUUUUGUUGGUUUGCACGCCAAGGUAAUGAUUAAUAGGGAUAGUUGGGGGUAUUCGUAUUCAAUUGUCAGAGGUGAAAUUCUUGGAUUUAUGGAAGACGAACUACUGCGAAAGCAUUUACCAAGGAUGUUUUCAUUA